GACGUAGGGCGCGAGCGUUGUCCGGAUUUAUUGGGCGUAAAGAGCUCGUAGGCGGCUUGUCGCGUCGUCCGUGAAAACCCACAGCUCAACUGUGGGCUUGCGGUCGAUACGGGCAGGCUAGAGUUCGGUAGGGGAGACUGGAAUUCCUGGUGUAGCGGUGGAAUGCGCAGAUAUCAGGAGGAACACCGAUGGCGAAGGCAGGUCUCUGGGCACUUACUGACGCUGAGGAGCGAAAGCGUGGGGAGCGAACAGG
rnacentral:rRNA from 1 species